GUUUUGUAUGUUUUAGAGUAUAUUACAUGUUUCAAUUGCAUUUAUAUUAAGUUUUGCAUCUGGUGAUGAUUAGAAAUAUGAAUUAGGAAUGAAUUGAACUUGCUGUGAUUUGGUAUAGUAAGUGGACAUUUACCCAUUCUAGGUUCUGAUUUGGAACUUAAAUAUCAUACAGUGGGUAUGACUUUCCAGGAUGUCUUCCUGAGUGGUAAAUGAUUGCUUCUCUACACUAAAUUUGGCACUUUUUAUUCUAAUUCAUGAUUCCAAUCAACCAAUCUGUUUCUACUCAUUAGUUUAGGAAUAUCUCUUAACUGUAAAUGCAUUCUUUUAGACUUAGGUUUUUCUUCCGUUUUACACUUCUGUUUCAAAGAUUUUCUUUCCUUGUUGUUAGCAUUUGAGUUAUGUGUAGAUGGUACCAUAUAUGUUCUAUUUCAGUUGUAGGUAGUUAUAGUAAUUAGGUUUUAUUUCUGUUUUGAGUAGUUUAGACUGUUAUUUCCUUUUCUUUUAUUGUAUUUCAAUUUCUUUAUUCUUUUAACCAGAUUUUAGUUUAGUCUAGUUCCAAUUCUUUUAUUUUGUUUAGUUUUAUUCAUUUUAAUUGUCCCCACCGAGUUUAAUAGUAAAUACAUAGUUAAUAAAUACAAGACUUAACCUUACACUUUAAUCUUAAUUAGCUGGGUCCUAGGAUUGAUAUUCUGGUUGUCCUAUGCUACAUUAGUGGGGACCAGUUCUUUGUUCUGCCUUUGGUGACUAAAAGGCAGUUUAACACUUCCCUAUCCAGAAUUUCUGAAACGAAGGGAAGAAGGGAGGUGUUUUAGAUGUGGGGGACCUUUCAGGCCAGGGCACCAAUGCCCUGAGAGGAGUUUACUAAUAGUGUUAUUGGCUGAGGAUGAAGAGGAGGACGUAGAAAAAGAGAUGGUAAAAGUGGAGCGAAUGGAGCUCUCGGCCUUCUCAGCUAGCGGAAUAGGAUAACGUUGCAUGAGUAGUUUCAUAGUUUCCGUUCAACCUUGGGGACAAGGUUGAUCUUCAAGAGGGGAGUAAUGUUAGGACUUAGAGAGUAUAAGAAAAGAGAAAAAUAAUAGAGAAAUAAGAAAGAAUACUUAACUGCUGAGCAGUUAAGGGGGGCGGGACAAGUGUCUAUAUAAGAGACCUCUUUUGUAGUUUUAGGGGAGUGAGUAGUCUUGUAUGUGUAGACUGGUCUAGUACCUGGUGAAGGAGGUUAAGCUUCUGUUUUCUCUUUGUAUUCUUGAUUCUUUUGUUGUGAAUACAAUACAAUUCUUUACCCAAAUUCUUGUUUGCAAAUACUGAAGUGAGUGAGAGAGAGAGUUAGGAUUCUUACCUAGAUUCCUAACACUUUCAGCAUGAGCAUUAUGGUGACUGGGGUUCGAUGCAAUGUUUGGGACAAAUGACAGGGGG
rnacentral:lncRNA from 1 species